CGGGGAGUAGCUCAGCCCGGUAGAGCACUAGUUUAGGGGACUAGGGGUCGUGGGUUCAAAUCCCGCCUCCCCGA
rnacentral:tRNA from 1 species